rnacentral:rRNA from 1 species
GUAGGUGGCACGCGUUGUCCGGAAUUAUUGGGCGUAAAGCGCGCGCAGGCGGUUCUUUAAGUCUGAUGUGAAAGCCCACGGCUCAACCGUGGAGGGUCAUUGGAAACUGGAGAACUUGAGUACAGAAGAGGAAAGCGGAAUUCCACGUGUAGCGGUGAAAUGCGUAGAGAUGUGGAGGAACACCAGUGGCGAAGGCGGCUUUCUGGUCUGUAACUGACGCUGAGGCGCGAAAGCGUGGGGGAGCAAACAGGAUUAGAUACCCUGGUAGUCCACGCCGUAAACGAUGAGUGCUAAGUGUUAGGGGGUUUCCGCCCCUUAGUGCUGCAGCUAACGCAUUAAGCACUCCGCCCUGGGAGUACGGCCGCAAGGCUG